rnacentral:rRNA from 1 species
ACGUAGGGGGCAAGCGUUAUCCGGAUUUACUGGGUGUAAAGGGAGCGUAGACGGCUGUGCAAGUCUGAAGUGAAAGGCAUGGGCUCAACCUGUGGACUGCUUUGGAAACUGUGCAGCUAGAGUGUCGGAGAGGUAAGUGGAAUUCCUAGUGUAGCGGUGAAAUGCGUAGAUAUUAGGAGGAACACCAGCGGCGAAGGCGGCUUACUGGACGAUGACUGACGUUGAGGCUCGAAAGCGUGGGGAGCAAACAG